GAUGAACGCUAGCUACAGGCUUAACACAUGCAAGUCGAGGGGUAGCAUGGUCUUAGCUUGCUAAGGCCGAUGGCGACCGGCGCACGGGUGAGUAACACGUAUCCAACCUGCCGUCUACUCUUGGACAGCCUUCUGAAAGGAAGAUUAAUACAAGAUGGCAUCAUGAGUCCGCAUGUUCACAUGAUUAAAGGUAUUCCGGUAGACGAUGGGGAUGCGUUCCAUUAGAUAGUAGGCGGGGUAACGGCCCACCUAGUCUUCGAUGGAUAGGGGUUCUGAGAGGAAGGUCCCCCACAUUGGAACUGAGACACGGUCCAAACUCCUACGGGAGGCAGCAGUGAGGAAUAGUGGUCAAUGGGCGAGAGCCUGAACCAGCCAAGUAGCGUGAAGGACGACUGCCCUAUGGGUUGUAAACUUCUUUUAUAAAGGAAUAAAGUCGGGUAUGGAUACCCGUUUGCAUGUACUUUAUGAAUAAGGAUCGGCUAACUCCGUG
rnacentral:rRNA from 1 species